rnacentral:rRNA from 1 species
GACGAACGCUGGCGGCGUGCUUAACACAUGCAAGUCGAACGAUGAAGCCUAGCUUGCUAGGUGGAUUAGUGGCGAACGGGUGAGUAAUACGUGAGUGACCUACCUUUGACUCUGGGAUAAGCCUGGGAAACUGGGUCUAAUACCGGAUACGACCAAUCUCCGCAUGGGGAGUUGGUGGAAAGCGUUAUGGAGUGGUUUUAGAUGGGCUCACGGCCUAUCAGCUUGUUGGUGAGGUAAUGGCUUACCAAGGCGACGACGGGUAGCCGGCCUGAGAGGGUGACCGGCCACACUGGGACUGAGACACGGCCCAGACUCCUACGGGAGGCAGCAGUGGGGAAUAUUGCACAAUGGGCGCAAGCCUGAUGCAGCGACGCCGCGUGAGGGAUGACGGCCUUCGGGUUGUAAACCUCUGUUAGCAUCGAAGAAGCGAAAGUGACGGUAGGUGCAGAGAAAGCGCCGGCUAACUACGUG